rnacentral:rRNA from 1 species
CAUUGUGCUUGCCAGAUGACGACCGGCGCACGGGUGCGUAACGCGUAUAGAACCUACCUUUUACAGAGGAAUAGCCUUUAGAAAUGAAGAUUAAUGCCUCAUAGUAUUGUAGACUGGCAUCAGUUUAUAAUUAAAGAUUUAUCGGUAAAAGAUGGCUAUGCGUCCUAUUAGUUAGUUGGUAAGGUAACGGCUUACCAAGACAGCGAUAGGUAGGGGUCCUGAGAGGGAGAUCCCCCACACUGGUACUGAGACACGGACCAGACUCCUACGGGAGGCAGCAGUGAGGAAUAUUGGACAAUGGAGGAGACUCUGAUCCAGCCAUGCCGCGUGUAGGAAGAAUGCCCUAUGGGUUGUAAACUACUUUUAUACAGGAAGAAACACUGGUAUGUAUACCAGCUUGACGGUACUGUAAGAAUAAGGACCGG